GUAGGUGGCAAGCGUUGUCCGGAUUUACUGGGCGUAAAGAGCGCGCAGGCGGUCGUUCAAGCCGCGUGUGAAAGCCCCCGGCUCAACUGGGGAGGGUCACGCGAUACUGAUCGACUCGAAGGCAGGAGAGGGUAGUGGAAUUCCCGGUGUAGUGGUGAAAUGCGUAGAUAUCGGGAGGAACACCAGUGGCGAAGGCGACUACCUGGCCUGUUCUUGACGCUGAGGCGCGAAAGCUAGGGGAGCAAACGGGAUUAGAUACCCCGGUAGUCCUAGCCGUAAACGAUGGACACUAGGUGUUGGUGGUAUCAACCCCGCCAGUGCCGAAGCUAACGCAUUAAGUGUCCCGCCUGGGGAGUACAGCCGCAAGGCUA
rnacentral:rRNA from 1 species